rnacentral:rRNA from 1 species
UACGUAGGGUGCAAGCGUUGUCCGGAAUUAUUGGGCGUAAAGGGCUCGUAGGCGGUCCAUCACGUCGGGAGUGAAAAGCUGGGGCUUAACCCCAGUCCUGCUUCCGAUACGGGUGGACUAGAGGUAGGUAGGGGAGAACGGAAUUCCUGGUGUAGCGGUGAAAUGCGUAGAUAUCGGGAGGAACACCAGUGGCGAAGGCGACUACCUGGCCUGUUCUUGACGCUGAGGCGCGAAAGCUAGGGGAGCAAACGGG